CGCAUGGUCAACGUUUGGAAAGAUUUUUUGGUUCAGGAUGGGCUCGCGGCCUAUCAGCUUGUUGGUGAGGUAAUGGCUCACCAAGGCGUCGACGGGUAGCCGGCCUGAGAGGGUGACCGGCCACACUGGGACUGAGACACGGCCCAGACUCCUACGGGAGGCAGCAGUGGGGAAUAUUGCACAAUGGGCGAAAGCCUGAUGCAGCAACGCCGCGUGAGGGAUGACGGCCUUCGGGUUGUAAACCUCUUUUAGCAAGGAAGAAGCGAAAGUGACGGUUCUUGUAGAAAAAGCGCCGGCUAACUACGUGCCAGCAGCCGCGGUAUUUCUUAGGGCGCAAGCGUUAUCCGGAAUUAUUGGGCGUAAAGAGCUCGUAGGCGGUUUGUCGCGUCUGCUGUGAAAACUGGAGGCUCAACCUCCAGCCUGCAGUGGGUACGGGCAGACUAGAGUGCGGUAGGGGAGAUUGGAAUUCCUGGUGUAGCGGUGGAAUGCGCAGAUAUCAGGAGGAACACCGAUGGCGAAGGCAGAUCUCUGGGCCGUAACUGACGCUGAGGAGCGAAAGGGUGGGGAGCAAACAGGCUUAGAUACCCUGGUAGUCCACCCCGUAAACGUUGGGAACUAGUUGUGGGGACCAUUCCACGGUUUCCGUGACGCAGCUAACGCAUUAAGUUCCCCGCCUGGGGAGUACGGCCGCAAGGCUAAAACUCAAAGGAAUUGACGGGGACCCGCACAAGCGGCGGAGCAUGCGGAUUAAUUCGAUGCAACGCGAAGAACCUUACCAAGGCUUGACAUAUACGAGAAAAGCUGCAGAAAUGUAGAACUCUUUGGACACUCGUAUACAGGUGGUGCAUGGUUGUCGUCAGCUCGUGUCGUGAGAUGUUGGGUUAAGUCCCGCAACGAGCGCAACCCUCGUUCUAUGUUGCCAGCACGUAAUGGUGGGAACUCAUGGGAUACUGCCGGGGUCAACUCGGAGGAAGGUGGGGAUGACGUCAAAUCAUCAUGCCCCUUAUGUCUUGGGCUUCACGCAUGCUACAAUGGCCGGUACAAAGGGCUGCAAU
rnacentral:rRNA from 1 species